rnacentral:rRNA from 1 species
UACGUAGGUGGCGAGCGUUGUCCGGAUUUACUGGGCGUAAAGAGCGCGCAGGCGGUCGGCCAAGUCGAGUGUGAAAGCCCCCGGCUCAACUGGGGAGGGUCACUUGAUACUGGUCGACUCGAAGGCGGGAGAGGGAAGUGGAAUUCCCGGUGUAGUGGUGAAAUGCGUAGAUAUCGGGAAGAACACCCGUGGCGAAGGCGGCUCUCUGGGACGGUACUGACGCUGAGACGCGAAAGCGUGGGGAGCGAACAGG